rnacentral:piRNA from 1 species
UGAGAUUUGUCACUGUGCUCAGAAAG